UGGGGAAUAUUGCACAAUGGGCGCAAGCCUGAUGCAGCCAUGCCGCGUGUGUGAAGAAGGCCUUCGGGUUGUAAAGUACUUUCAGCGGGGAGGAAGGGAGUAAAGUUAAUACCUUUGCUCAUUGACGUUACCCGCAGAAGAAGCACCGGCUAACUCCGUGCCAGCAGCCGCGGUAAUACGGAGGGUGCAAGCGUUAAUCGGAAUUACUGGGCGUAAAGCGCACGCAGGCGGUUUGUUAAGUCAGAUGUGAAAUCCCCGGGCUCAACCUGGGAACUGGAUCUGAUACUGGCAAGCUUGAGUCUCGUAGAGGGGGGUAGAAUUCCAGGUGUAGCGGUGAAAUGCGUAGAGAUCUGGAGGAAUACCGGUGGCGAAGGCGGCCCCCUGGACGAAGACUGACGCUCAGGUGCGAAAGCGUGGGGAGCAAACAGG
rnacentral:rRNA from 1 species